AGGGAGGGAUCUGACUGUAGAAAGGGAGGGGCAGAAAGGAAGAGAUCAUAAGGCAAGAGAAGAAAAGGAAGAGGGUGGGGGAGGGGAGCAGAAAUGGAAACGAUGUGGCAUUAAAACUAGAAGUGGGGAUUGUCUGCAGGAGUGAGGGGGAGGCCAACAGGAAGAGGAGGUGAGGGGUGGGCAUUGGGAAACAGAUGACUAAGAACAAAGUAUGGUGGCCUGUGUAUAUAAAUACCCUAAUAAACCCAAUAUUUUGCACUCUAACCUUUAAAAGUCUGAAAAAAUAAUAUGUAAACAGACAUAAUAAAUACGAAUAUAAAGAAGUAAUAAUUCUAAAGGAAUUAGGCCUGUAGAAGUCCAGACAGUUUUGUGGGAGGGCACAUACCUACACUUAUCCUAGAGGAAUCUCCCUAUGCAGGGAGUCUGUCUCGGUAUUUCCCAUUCCUGUCCACCCAUGCAUGGUUCUUACAGAGACUCCAUACCAGAACAUACGGGAGGGAGGAGCAGGAAGUCCCUGAUUCGAAGGAUGCUCUGAGCCCAGCCUCCUUCUCCAUCCCUUCCUCCACCCGCUCCCUCAACUUCAGGACCUAUGACUGGAGACAGAGACCGUGCUCCAGACUUUGCAAUCAGAGAUGUUUUCACCCAAAGGUAAUGGACAUGCAGGACUUAGAAAGUCAAAGCUGGUCUCGGCUGGGGAGGUAAUCACACAGUCAAACUGGUUCAGCCAGACAGCCUGCCAAUUCUGGGUUUCUGCUCCGGGCUUCUAAAGGUGACCAAGCAAGUCCUCGGAUAAGAAUGCAAGUGAGCAAAAUAACAAAUUCUUCUGAUACGACCUUUUCUUUCUCUGAAACACGAUCUCACUGCCUAGCUCUUGCUAGCGUGAAACUCACUCUGUAGACCAGGCUAGCCUCUAACUCACGGAGAUCCGCCUGCUUCUUCCUCCCAAGCGAUGGGCUUUUGUUAGGAUAUAAUACCUUAGUCCUCAAAGUCUCCAGGAAGACAGACAGCAGAGGCCUGGACCUAGCUGUCCCUGGAGAAGCUGCAGGACAGGUGCAGCUAUAAUGGCCUGUGCAAGAAGGAAGCUUCCUGGAGCACACAUGCGGCCAGAAGCAUCAGAAGGGCCCACUGUGGUCCGGGCCAGCUCCUGUUACAAGUCAGAUGUUGGAGGGAUUUGAGAGAGUCACUUCAUUCCUUCUGACUCUCGUUGGUUCUAUCACACAAGCGGCUUCCAAACCUACCUUUAAGGUUCAGGCACAAAAGCUUCAGGAAGUCAAGCGUCUGUUUUCAAGAUGGGUAUAAAGGACCGUACUAGCUUGCAGAGAAAUGGCUGCACUUUCAUAGACACAGAAGAAGGCUCCUACCCAACAGUCAGGGGUCAGAUCUCCAAAACGAGCCCUACAAUCAGCCUUCCAGAGUUGGCCUGGAGUGCUCACCCUUCGCUCGCCUCGUUAGAAGAAUCCCAUGCACACGCUGAAGCCAGCUGAGAAUCCCUGCUAAGCUUUCGGGCAGCUGGGAGAAGCAAAGUUGGAUCCCUGCCUAAAUCCCUGGGAGAGCCCACGCUCUGUUGCCAGCACCUUGACUGGAACAUCAAUAUUGGACAUCUGGCCUCGGACCUAGGAAAGAACGUUGGUAUUGUUUUUGACCACCAAAUUGUGGCUUAGGAAACUAAUACCCUCAUUAAUCACUCCCUCUAUUUUUCUCAAAAGCAAUCUACACGAGCCAGUAUUGUCGCCAGCGUGUGAACAAAGAGAGCCGACUCCUGGGUAGAGCAGCACACUCCAAGGCAUAGGCAUGGGACAGAGCCAGGUAUGGACCACAUCCAUGUCACCUUCUAAAAAUGCCUUACUGGCUCCAACGAACCGACACAUGGCUCGUUAGCCUUCAGGAAGAAUCUAGAAAUGCUGCCCCAGUAACAUUCAGCAAGCAGAGGGAGCUCUCGGCCUGUCCAUCGACAGUGACACUGUCACCAUGGCGGCCCUCUACCCUCCAUCCUCUUCAGCAUUGAAGCUGUUACGGCUUUAAUGUAAGACAUCUCAGGUCCACGCGAUGGGACAGUCUCCACCUUGUGGCACUGCUUUGGGAGGUUGUGAACCGUGACAUGAUGGGGUCUGGCCGGAGGAUGUGGGUCACUAAAUAAACAGGCUUUGAGGUUUAACUAGUGGCUCCAAGUCAACUCCUCUGCCCUUGAUUUGCUGAGGUGUGAGCAAGCUCUUCCUGCCACAGAGCUGCCUGCCACCGCGACGCCUCCACCAUGUCUCCUAAAACAAGAUAAGCCUCUUCUAAACUGCUUCAAAGCCCUUGACAACUGCACCAGGCAAAAGAGCUAUGUAAGGAAAAGCCGUAGCUGGCCUUCCCUAAGGCAUCUCUCAUUUCACUGUAACCCCAGAACUGCUGCUAGCAUCCCGAAGUGUGCAUUAUGUGCCUACCCCGGUGGUGCUCCUGACAAGCUGCUACUAGAAACCAGACAUGGAGGAUUAUGGGUAAUGGAGGUUCUCAAUGAACACAUCACUCACCAUUCAAGUCUGAAAUACACCUCCACCUCCACACUUCACUAUAAUACCAACCCAAUUAAUAACGAUCGGUGGGAAUUAUGAAACAUCUGUUGAACAUACUGGUGUGGAGACCAGGAUUCUACUCAGGAAAGGAUGCAGUGACAGCUACCAGAAGGGCACAGUACCCUGUGAAAUAAUCACCGAAGACUUGAAAUGAUACUCAACUUGUGAUGCCUGAUCACGAGGGACAUGCAAAUCAAGCCACAAUGUGAUAUCAUUCCAGUCACUCAGACGGCCAUCAUCAGAGCACAGGGGGCGGGGUGGGGGGGAUGCGUGACAAGGCUGUGGAGAAAUCGGAGCCCUUGUUGGGCAACCUUGGAAACAGCAUGUGGUGUAUCAGGAAAUUCAGUAUAGAAGCCACUGCAAUCCGUCAAUCCCUCAUCUGGGUUAAGACCUGAAGGACGUGAAUGGAUACUUGUGCGCCUGAUUGAUAGAAGCAUUGUUCACAGAAGUCAACAGAUAGAAGGAUGGCUGGGAGAUGCCUCCCUCACACGCUGGGCCACGACUGCUCUUGCAGAGGACAUGGUUUUGGUUCCCAGCACCCACACUGGCCAGCUAACAAACCCCUGUAAGUCUAGCUCCAGGAAAUCCAGUGUUCUCUGCCGGCUUCUGAAGGCACCUACAUUUGUGUGCACAUACUCUCACAUAUAUAAUAAAA
rnacentral:sRNA from 1 species